rnacentral:rRNA from 1 species
UGCAGUCGAACGGUAGACAUGUGUAUGUAGCUUGCACAUACGCUGACGAGUGGCGGACGGGUGAGUAAUGCUUGGGAACUUGCCUUUGCGAGGGGGAUAACAGUUGGAAACGACUGCUAAUACCGCAUAAUGUCUACGGACCAAACGGGGCUUAGGCUCCGGCGCAAAGAGAGGCCCAAGUGAGAUUAGCUAGAUGGUGAGGUAAAGGCUCACCAUGGCAACGAUCUCUAGCUGUUCUGAGAGGAAGAUCAGCCACACUGGGACUGAGACACGGCCCAGACUCCUACGGGAGGCAGCAGUGGGGAAUAUUGCACAAUGGGGGAAACCCUGAUGCAGCCAUGCCGCGUGUGUGAAGAAGGCCUUCGGGUUGUAAAGCACUUUCAGUUGUGAGGAAAGGGUGUUGGUUAAUACCCAAUAUCUGUGACGUUAACAACAGAAGAAGCACCGGCUAACUCCGUGCCAGCAGCCGCGGUAAUACGGAGGGUGCGAGCGUUAAUCGGAAUUACUGGGCGUAAAGCGCACGCAGGCGGUUUGUUAAGCUAGAUGUGAAAGCCCCGGGCUCAACCUGGGACGGUCAUUUAGAACUGGCAGACUAGAGUCUUGGAGAGGGGAGUGGAAUUCCAGGUGUAGCGGUGAAAUGCGUAGAUAUCUGGAGGAACAUCAGUGGCGAAGGCGACUCCCUGGCCAAAGACUGACGCUCAUGUGCGAAAGUGUGGGUAGCGAACAGGAUUAGAUACCCUGGUAGUCCACACCGUAAACGCUGUCUACUAGCUGUGUGUGAAUUUAAUUCGUGCGUAGCGAAGCUAACGCGCUAAGUAGACCGCCUGGGGAGUACGGCCGCAAGGUUAAAACUCAAAUGAAUUGACGGGGGCCCGCACAAGCGGUGGAGCAUGUGGUUUAAUUCGAUGCAACGC